AGAGUUUGAUCCUGGCUCAGGAUGAACGCUAGCGACAGGCUUAACACAUGCAAGUCGAGGGGCAGCGAGGGAGUGGCAACACUUCUGUCGGCGACCGGCGCACGGGUGAGUAACGCGUAUGCAACCUGCCCUUCACAGGGGGAUAACCGGGAGAAAUUCCGACUAAUACCGCAUACGUCCUCCGGGGGCAUCCCCGGGGGAUGAAAGAGUUAUCGGUGAAGGAUGGGCAUGCGUGAUAUUAGGUAGUUGGCGGGGCAACGGCCCACCAAGCCCACGAUAUCUAGGGGUUCUGAGAGGAAGGUCCCCCACAUUGGUACUGAGACACGGACCAAACUCCUACGGGAGGCAGCAGUGAGGAAUAUUGGUCAAUGGACGAGAGUCUGAACCAGCCAAGUCGCGUGAAGGAAGACGGAUCUAUGGUUUGUAAACUUCUUUAGUGCGGGAACAAAGCGGCGUCGUGACGCCGGAUGAGUGUACCGCAAGAAUAAGCAUCGGCUAACUCCGUGCCAGCAGCCGCGGUAAUACGGAGGAUGCGAGCGUUAUCCGGAUUUAUUGGGUUUAAAGGGAGCGCAGGCUGCGAGGCAAGUCAGCGGUCAAAUGUCGGGGCUCAACCCCGGCCUGCCGUUGAAACUGUCCUGCUAGAGUUCGAGUGAGGUAUGCGGAAUGCGUUGUGUAGCGGUGAAAUGCAUAGAUAUGACGCAGAACUCCGAUUGCGAAGGCAGCAUACCAACUCGCGACUGACGCUGAGGCUCGAAAGCGUGGGUAUCGAACAGGAUUAGAUACCCUGGUAGUCCACGCAGUAAACGAUGAAUACUAACUGUUCGGAGGGCGACCUCUGAGUGGUAAAGCGAAAGCGUUAAGUAUUCCACCUGGGGAGUACGCCGGCAACGGUGAAACU
rnacentral:rRNA from 1 species